CUUUGGAGUACCGGAUCACACUAAUGCUGGCUUUGGCAGCGACGGUAAUGGUGUAUUUUAUGACCCGGAAACGUUACAAGCUUCCACCGGGACCACGUGGUCUCCCGUUGCUUAGCAAUAUUCUAGCAAUACAAAACAAGUCACUGUUCCGGAUGCUGAUACAGUUGGAAAAGAAGUACGGCCCCGUGAUAACCCUUAACCUUGGUCCAAUACGCAC